CCCUUAGAUGUCCGGGGCCGCACGCGCGCUACAAUGGAUGAAUCAACGCGUCAUCCUGGCCCGAAAGGGUUGGGGAACCGCUGAACCUCAUCCGUGGUUGGGAUUGGGGUUUGUAAUUAUUCCCCAUGAACUAGGAAUUCCCAGUAAGCACGAGUCAUAAGCUCGCGUUGAUUACGUCCCUGCCCUUUGUACACACCGCCCGUCGCUACUACCGAUUGGAUGGUUUAGUGAGAUCCUCGGAUUGGUCACGGCACGGUGGCAACACUGCGUCGGUGUGCCGAGAAGACGAUCAAACUUGAUCAUCUAGAGGAAGUAAAAGUCGUAACA
rnacentral:rRNA from 1 species